GGCUGCGGUCAAACUAAGCGGAAAAUACUGUUUCCCGUCCGAUCAACGAGCGUCAAGCCGCUUAAGGCCAUAGUGAGUAAUACAGUGGGAGACCAUGUGUGAAAUUAUGGUGCUGCAGUCU
rfam:Candida auris strain 6684 Scaffold18, whole genome shotgun sequence.